rnacentral:tRNA from 1 species
AGCGGGAUGGAGCAGUCCGGUAGCUCGUUGGGCUCAUAACCCAAAGGUCGCAGGUUCAAAUCCUGCUCCCGCAACCA